CAUCAGAUCACAAUCAUAACAGUCAACAAACCAAGGACAAGGGCAAUAAAAGUAAGGAAAGGGGGAGAAGAGAAAAAGAAAACUUCCAUGAUCAUGGUGGCAGUUGCCAAUUUUGGACUUUCAGGGAGAGGUCUUCCACCAUUGGAUUCAGUAAGGAAGUCUUGAGGAGGAACUGCUUCAGUCUCCAAAUUUGAUCAAGCAGGGAUAUAUCCUCCACAGCUGGAUCCAAAAAGUAGUGAUUGUUGAUGAGCGUGUUCAGCAGGUUCCUAAUAAUCUUCAAAUUGUCGGCACCUUUGUCUUCCACCAUGGGUGUGUGUUGAUCAAAUGCAUGUGUACCUCCUGCAACAUGG
rnacentral:lncRNA from 1 species